rnacentral:rRNA from 1 species
AUUGAACGCUGGCGGCAGGCCUAACACAUGCAAGUCGAGCGGAUGAGGAAAGCUUGCUUUUCGAUUCAGCGGCGGACGGGUGAGUAAUGCCUAGGAAUCUGCCUGUUAGUGGGGGAUAACUCGGGGAAACUCGGGCUAAUACCGCAUACGUCCUACGGGAGAAAGUGGGGGAUCUUCGGACCUCACGCUAACAGAUGAGCCUAGGUCGGAUUAGCUAGUAGGUGAGGUAAUGGCUCACCUAGGCGACGAUCCGUAACUGGUCUGAGAGGAUGAUCAGUCAAACUGGAACUGAGACACGGUCCAGACUCCUACGGGAGGCAGCAGUGGGGAAUAUUGGACAAUGGGCGAAAGCCUGAUCCAGCCAUGCCGCGUGUGUGAAGAAGGUCUUCGGAUUGUAAAGCACUUUAAGUUGGGAGGAAGGGUAUUCACCUAAUACGUGGGUACUUUGACGUUACCAACAGAAUAAGCACCGGCUAACUCUGUGCCAGCAGCCGCCGUAAAAC